UGCGAAUGCUGACAUAAGUAACGAUAAAGCGGGUGAAAAGCCCGCUCGCCGGAAGACCAAGGGUUCCUGUCCAACGUUAAUCGGGGCAGGGUGAGUCGACCCCUAAGGCGAGGCCGAAAGGCGUAGUCGAUGGGAAACAGGUUAAUAUUCCUGUACUUGGUGUUACUGCGAAGGGGGGACGGAGAAGGCUAUGUUGGCCGGGCGACGGUUGUCCCGGUUUAAGCGUGUAGGCUGGUUUUCCAGGCAAAUCCGGAAAAUCAAGGCUGAGGCGUGAUGACGAGGCACUACGGUGCUGAAGCAACAAAUGCCCUGCUUCCAGGAAAAGCCUCUAAGCAUCAGGUAACAUCAAAUCGUACCCCAAACCGACACAGGUGGUCAGGUAGAGAAUACCAAGGCGCUUGAGAGAACUCGGGUGAAGGAACUAGGCAAAAUGGUGCCGUAACUUCGGGAGAAGGCACGCUGAUAUGUAGGUGAAGUCCCUCGCGGAUGGAGCUGAAAUCAGUCGAAGAUACCAGCUGGCUGCAACUGUUUAUUAAAAACACAGCACUGUGCAAACACGAAAGUGGACGUAUACGGUGUGACGCCUGCCCGGUGCCGGAAGGUUAAUUGAUGGGGUCAGCGCAAGCGAAGCUCUUGAUCGAAGCCCCGGUAAACGGCGGCCGUAACUAUAACGGUCCUAAGGUAGCGAAAUUCCUUGUCGGGUAAGUUCCGACCUGCACGAAUGGCGUAAUGAUGGCCAGGCUGUCUCCACCCGAGACUCAGUGAAAUUGAACUCGCUGUGAAGAUGCAGUGUACCCGCGGCAAGACGGAAAGACCCCGUGAACCUUUACUAUAGCUUGACACUGAACAUUGAGCCUUGAUGUGUAGGAUAGGUGGGAGGCUUUGAAGUGUGGACGCCAGUCUGCAUGGAGCCGACCUUGAAAUACCACCCUUUAAUGUUUGAUGUUCUAACGUGGACCCGUGAUCCGGGUUGCGGACAGUGUCUGGUGGGUAGUUUGACUGGGGCGGUCUCCUCCUAAAGAGUAACGGAGGAGCACGAAGGUUGGCUAAUCCUGGUCGGACAUCAGGAGGUUAGUGCAAUGGCAUAAGCCAGCUUGACUGCGAGCGUGACGGCGCGAGCAGGUGCGAAAGCAGGUCAUAGUGAUCCGGUGGUUCUGAAUGGAAGGGCCAUCGCUCAACGGAUAAAAGGUACUCCGGGGAUAACAGGCUGAUACCGCCCAAGAGUUCAUAUCGACGGCGGUGUUUGGCACCUCGAUGUCGGCUCAUCACAUCCUGGGGCUGAAGUAGGUCCCAAGGGUAUGGCUGUUCGCCAUUUAAAGUGGUACGCGAGCUGGGUUUAGAACGUCGUGAGACAGUUCGGUCCCUAUCUGCCGUGGGCGCUGGAGAACUGAGGGGGGCUGCUCCUAGUACGAGAGGACCGGAGUGGACGCAUCACUGGUGUUCGGGUUGUCAUGCCAAUGGCACUGCCCGGUAGCUAAAUGCGGAAGAGAUAAGUGCUGAAAGCAUCUAAGCACGAAACUUGCCCCGAGAUGAGUUCUCCCUGACCCUUUAAGGGUCCUGAAGGAACGUUGAAGACGACGACGUUGAUAGGCCGGGUGUGUAAGCGCAGCGAUGCGUUGAG
rnacentral:rRNA from 1 species